rnacentral:misc_RNA from 1 species
UCUCCGUAGGUGAACCUGCGGAGGGAUCAUUACUGAGUGAGGGCCUUCGGGCUCGACCUCCAACCCUUUGUGAACACAACUUGUUGCUUCGGGGGCGACCCUGCCGUUUCGACGGCGAGCGCCCCCGGAGGCCAUUAAACACUGCAUCAUUGCGUCGGAGUUUAACACAAAUGAAACAAAACUUUCAACAACGGAUCUCUUGGUUCUGGCAUCGAUGAAGAACGCAGC